UUAUAUCUUAAUUAAAAACUAACCCUAGUCAAAAAGACCCUUGAGCCGUUUCUAUCAUCUUAAAAACCUUACACACCUUAAGCUUCCUCUUCAUCACAAAAAACACCAUAGUAGCAACUCCUUCUCCAAAAAAACCAUCAGCCGCAACACACAAAGACCUAGAUAUAGCCACCUCCCCUAAUUCAUAUACACAUCUACCGCACCCCUACUUCGUUGGACCACGCCGAUGACCACUCUUAAACCCCCCAUAUCGAUCAGAUCUGGAUGAUUUGACAUGAAAGCUCCAUGUUUGGCCGAACUCCAACGAUCUCUCCUUGUUCUAUGCCGCAGCUACCUCAUUUAUUCGCACCGCUGCUUGUCGCUGUGGAAAUAGCGGUGUGUGUGUUCGAUUUUCUGAUUUUUGCCAGAAUUUCAGAUCCGGUUGUUUUUUUUUACUUUCCGGCGAGUUUCGAGGUAGAAGAGUCGAGGUCUGUCUGUGUUUCAUCGACUUUCGGCAAGUUCCGAAGUCGAAGUUCCAUUGGUCUUGGUCGCGUUUCCAUCAGACUCUGGAGCUGCAAAUCAGCUAAGCUCAGAUUCAUUUCUGGAGAGGCUUGUUUUUUGUUUGUUUUGGUUCUACUGUAAUCAGGUAUUACUUUUGACUGGAAUGAUGCAAAUAUUAUGUUCCGUUGAAUGAAGAUUAUACGAGCUCACCUCUAUUUAAAUUUGUUUCAAAUUCUAGAGUUGUGUAAAUGUUUACCUUGUUUAAAUGCUAUAUUGCUAUUUGAAAUGUCUAUUCAUGGUGUAAGAUGCCUAUCAAGAAUUUUAUUUAUUAAAUUAUUGUCAAGAUGAAAAGGAAUCACGUUGGCAGUUGGUAAAAAAGUUGUAUCACUUUGCUUGGACAUUAUGUGUAAAUUAUGUCAGUAAUGAUUCUACCAAAUGAAGGUUUAGGCUCAUGAGGAUCUGAUUUGUUAAGUUGGUUUUCCUUGAUUAAAGCAUCAAUCUAUUGUAGUUAGUUCGACCUGAAGUAAUUGAGUUAGCAUGUAGUUGAAGAAAGAGUGUUAGUUCAUAAAAUUGCUUGUUAAUUGUAAGCAGAUUUCGAAUGUCAGUCUUUAUAAAUAAUUCUGUAUUGUGUUGAAAUUUGAAAAUCAUAUGUGUUUGCCAUAUAACUCGUUAGUUCCAUGUUGUGCUGGGCGAUUGGAGUUCGGAAGAAAAUCUAAUGAAUGCUUUGAAAAUUAUUGGGCCUGUUAAUAGGCCCAAACAAGGUUUUUGUUACCAUCGACUUCAUGCCUUUAUUGUCGUACCCAAGUAUGGGUUCAAACAUAUUUCAAGAGUUUAAAUUGUUACUGUCAAAAUUUUAUAUUUUAUUUCUCUAAAUACAAUUUUGCUCACAGAUGAUUCCACAAUAAAUCAUUUCAUAACUUUGGCCUCGCAAUAAUCUCAAAUUAGUUUAAUAAGAAAAAUAAUAUCCAUAAACAUCGUAGCUUCCUUUAGAUGCUAUUAAUAAAUCAGCGUGACUGUGGGUACGGUUCUUGUGACAUGGUUAUGAUACGUAAUUCCCAAAGUCGGGUGCAUAUUUCAUGUGACCUGACCCCAACUUCGAAUAUUAAUAAAAUACAUGUGUUGCAGAUUGUGGGUACGGUUCCCGUGACACGAUUCGCAACAUGUACAAAAACAAACAAGUGUACGACAAUCGUAACUUAUUCCAGAAAUAAAUCCAUAAAUAAUUAAAAGCGGUUGAAAAGCUAAAAGUGCACAAUAAUUAUAAAAUAUGUAAUUAAUCAGAUAAUUAGGCCAAUUAAUAAUAGUUGAAUGACCGUGCUAAAACCACAGAACCCGGGAAUGUCUAACACCUUCUCCCAGGUUAACAUAAUUCCUUACCUGAAUUUUUGUGUUUCGCGGACUGUAAAACAGAGUCAAACUUUUUCGAUUCGGGAUUUUAAACCGGUGACUUGCGACACCAUAAAUUAUCCCAAGUGGUGACUCUGAAUUUGAAUAAAUAAUCCUAUUUCGGUUUUGUCACUUUAAUUGGAAAAACUCCCCUAUACCCUUUCGGGUAGAAAAAGGAGGUGUGACAGCUCUGGUGUGAUGACCCGGCCAGUCGUCUUAAGAAUUUACGCCUCGAUCCCCUAUUAACUGCCUUCCCCGAGUUUAUUUCUACUAUUUUGAUUUACCGGGAUAUACGGUUUUGAAUUUCGGAGAGUUUUGGGACACUUAGUCUCUAAAUGAGAGUUUAAGUAUUGGAAAUUUGACCGUAGUCAGAACACUGUGAAGAUGGCCUCAGAAUGAAAAUCUGAUAGUUCCGUUAGCUCCAUUUGGUGAAUUCAGGCAUAGGGGCUUGUUCGGAUUGUGUUUUGGAAGUCCGUAGCUAAUUUAGGCUUGAAAUGCCGAAAGUUGAAUUUUUGAAGUUUCCGGUCUGAUAGUAAGAUUUUUAUCCAAGGGUCGGGAUGAAAUUCCGGAAGUUGGAGUAGCUCCGUAGUGUUGAAUGUGACGUUUGUGCAAAAUUUCAGGUCUUUCGGACGAGGUCUACUAGACUUUUUUAUAGAAUGCAUAUUUUGAGAAAAUUUGGAGUUCUUAGGCUUAAAUCCUUGGUUAAUUAGAGGUUUUGAUAUUGGUACAAGUUUGGAUGGUUUUUUGUGACUUGUUGGUGUCUUUGGUUUAGGUCUCGGAGGCCUCGGGAUGAAUUUGAAUGGUUGACGGAAAGAUUUUGGAUUUUAAGUUGCAGCUUCAGCUGCUGGUGCUAUCAUAGCCACACCUGCGGUUUGGGUUCCGCAGGUGCGACACCGUAGAUGCGGCUCAGCGAACGUGGGGGCGGAGUUGUGGAGUAGCAGUAGGUUCCGCAGAUGCGGGUAGUUAACCACAGAAGCAGUACCGCACAUGUGGAUAGUAAAUCGAAGGUGCGGCAGUUAGACCGUAAGUGUAAGUCAUAGAUGUGACCAAUUAUUCCGCACAUGCGGGACCGUAGAAGCAGUCCCAAAGCCACAGAUGCGUAAACUGCUGGGUAGAUUAUUUUAAAAGGGGUUCCGCGACUUUGGGGUUUAUUUCAACAUUUGUAUCACUGCUUGGGAGCUUUUCGAACAAUUUGAAAGAGGGAUUUUAAGGGAACUUCAUUGAGGUAAGGAAUUUGGAGCUAAAACUUGUUCCUAUGAUAUUAUUUCACGGAUUAAAGCUAGAAAUCAUGGAAAUUAAGGGUGAAAAAUUGGGGAAACUAGGGCUUAGUAUUGGAGAACUUUGAGUAAUGAUUUGAGGGACCAUUUGAGGUCCGAUUUUGGUAACUUUGGUAUGCAUGAACUCGUGAGAGUGUGUGGUUUCUUAAAAUAUAAAUUUUACCCGAUUCCGAGACGUGGGCCCAAGGGGCAUUUUGGUCAUUUUACAUAAUUUCACAUAUUAGCUUAGAAUUUCUUUGUAGAAUCCGUUACUUGAAGUGUUAUUUACAUUAUGCAAUUGAAUUGAAUAGAUUUGGGCCAUUUGGAGUUGAGUACUCGUGGCAAGAGCGUGGGUUUGGAUUGAUUAUUGAGCCGUUUCGAGGUAAGUGGCUUGUCUAACCCUGUGUGGGGGACCUUCCCCUUAGGAUUCAGUAUAUUUGAUAUUUGAAACACCUUGUGCAUGAGGUGACGAGUUUGUACUUGAAGCUAAUCUUUAAAAAUCCGAUUUUCUUUACGUAAUUUCAAUUGUGUUCCUUUUCUUGUUUCAUUUUACAUGCAAUUUAAACCUGUUGUUAGCUUAGAAAGAGUAUGCCUAAUUGACUUAACUAUUUAUUUGCUUAACCUGCCUUAAUUGCAUUACAUGAAGCAUGUUAGGCUAGAAUCAAAUGUUUACUUGGUAUGGAAUUGUCUUUAAAUUGAGUAUUCUUGUGUUGCUUCUGUGUAUUUUUAAAUUGGGACUACGAGACGGCAGCUCGGGAGAUCCCCUGUAUGAAAUUAUGAUCUCGACUGAGGUGCGGGAUACCAAGAGAUCCCUGGCAAGUAUAUUGAGGAUACCAAGAGAUCCCUAACAUAUAUUGAGGAUACCAAGAGAUCCUCGGGAUACCAAGAGAUCCCUUGUAUACAUAGAGGAUACCCAGAGAUCCCCCGGUUAUCCUCCUUGUUAUGAGUGGUAUUUCCUCGCAUUUUGUCUUAAUCUUUAUUUUUGUUAUUGUACUCUUAUUAUCUUGUACAGAUUCUUGCUGUAGAUUCUUAAUUGUAAUGCUUAUCUUAUCCUGUCAUCUUAGUAUUUAUUUCAUUAAUCUCAGUAGGGCCCUGACAUUCCUAGUCACUACCCCACUGAGGUUAGAUUUGACACUUACUUAGUACUGUUGUGGAGUACUCAUGCCCCUUCUGCCCAUGUUUUUCAUGUGCAGAUCUAGGUACUGCUACUCAGGCCUACCAUCUUUGAGGGAGGCGACUGCUUAGAGACUUCCAGGUACAUCUGUCGUGCCCGCAGACCGAGAAGUCCCUUUCUAUUCCUGCUUUUAGUAUUUAGCCUUUUUGUAUUUCCCCUCUUAUUAGACAUUCUGGAGUUAGAGUUAUGUAAUAUUUUUCUUAGCUUGUGAUUCGUGAGUUUCCGGGUCUUGGAUCUAUGUAUUGGUAUUGAGAGUUAAACAUGGUGUAUAUCGAGCAACACCUUUAAAACAUUGUUAUUACUUUAGUUCUGUUUUAAACUAUUUUACUUCCACAAAUUUGGUUUUUCUUCCGCAACUUAGGCUUACCUAGUCGUAGAUACUAGGUGUCAUCAUGAUGGUUCACAGAGGGCGAACCGGGGUCAUGACAAGUUGAUAUUAUAUCUCUAGGUUCACAGGAGUCAUGGAUCACAAGCCGAUUUAUUAGAGUCCCGCUGAUCGGUACGGAGACGUUUGUACUUAUCUACGAGAGACUAUGUAAGUGUUAGGAAAAUUUCCACUUCAUUUGAUUUCCUUGUCGUGCGAUAUUUUGACAUCACAAUUCUAAACUUCUAUAUUCUAUUCUCUCACAGAUGGUAAGGACACGUGCUACCUAAGAUGAUCAGGCACCCGCGCCCCUACUGUAGCCGUUAGAGGCUGCAACCAGGGUAGAGGACACGGGCGGGGUAGAGGCCGAGGAUGCGCACGUGGUGCAGAAAGAGCACCUGCGCGAGCUACCACCAAGGUACCACCAGUAGUUCUAGCCGGAGUCCAGGCACCUGACACGCCUACUGCUACUACUACUCCAGCUUUUCAGGAGACUGACACAGUUCAUGAGCAUGUACACCAUUUUGGCUCAGGCAGGGUUGCAUCCCCUUACUGCAGCUGCAUCUCAGGAAGGGGGAGGAGCACAGACUCCCGCCACCCGCACUCCUGAGCAGCGAGUGCAUGUUGAGCAGGUCCCUGAGAUUAUUCCUGUACCGCCUACAGUGCCAGUUCAGCCUGAGGUCAGGGUAGCAGNNNNNNNNNNNNNNNNNNNNNNNUUAUUCAGUGGUCUAGAAUAGGAGGAUGCUCUGGGAUUUCUAGAUGAGUGUUACCGCAUUCUCCACACCAUGUGUAUAAUAGGAUCGAGCGGGCUUUCCCUCACUACCUUCCAGCUUCGAGGAGCUGCCUAUGAGUUAGACAGUCCAGAUGAGGCUGCUUCACUGACUUGAACUCAGUUUUCAUAUCUGUUCCUGAGGGAGUAUGUUCCUCAAAGCCUCAGGGACGCAUGGCGCAUAGAGUUUGAGCAUUUGUACCAGGGUACUAUGACUAUCUCAGAGUAUGCUGUCUGUUACACCAGUUUGGCUAGGCAUGCACCAACCUUGGUUUCUACUGUUCGCUAGAUGGUUCGUCGGUUUAUUGAGGGCCUUAUUCCCAACAUCAAGUCUAGCAUGGCUCGUGAGUUGGAGAUGAAUAUUUCUUAUCAGCAGGUGGUGAGCAUUGCUAGGAGGAUUAAGGGUAUGCAUGCUAGGGAGAGGGAGGACAAGAGGUCUCGAGAGUCGAGCCAUUUCUCUGGCGCCCGUGCCCCAACUGUAGGUCGUCAUGGUAUGGGUUAUAUGAGUCGCCCUGUUCAUUUAGCUCUUCCAGCAGCCAGUGGUAUUCUAGCUUCUCCUAGGCCUCAGGAGCCUUAUUAUGCACCUCUAAUUUCUAACGCGCCUCCUGCGCGGGGUGUUUUCAGGGUUCAGUCCAGCAAACCUGGCCCGAGACAGUCAUAGCCGCCACAUCCUCCUAGAGCUUGUUUUGAGUGUGGUGACACACGCCACGUGGUGAGGGAUUGCCCUAGACUUGGGAGGAGUGCACCACCACAGACUUCUUAGCCACAACAUGCCCUAGAGAGUUUUCAGGCUAUGGUUAUUGCUUCAGUUGCUACCCCACCUACUCAACCAGCCAGAGGUGGAGGUCGGGGAGGUAAAUGUCACCCUAGAGAGGGAGGCCAAGCCCGAUACUAUGCCCUUCCUACCCGUACUGAGGCUGUUGCCUCCGAUUCUGUCAUCAUAUGUAUUAUACUGGUUUGUCACAAAGAUGCAUCGGUUCUAUUCGAUCCAGCCUCCACUUAUUCUUAUGUGUCUUCUUAUUUUUCUCUACAUUUGGGUGUAUCUCGGGAUUCUUUAAGUUCCCAUGUUUAUGUUUCUACUCCUAUGGGAGAUUCUCUUAUUGUGGACCGCGUUUAUCGGUCGUGUUUGGUUGCUCUUAGUGGUUUUGAGACCAGAGCCAAUUUAUUGUUACUCAGUAUAGUUGACUUUGAUAUUAUCUUGGGCAUGGACUGGUUGUCGCCCAAUUAUGCUAUUCUUGAUUGUCACGCCAAAACUAUGAUGCUGGUUAUGCUAGGUGUAUUGCGUGUUUAGUGGAGGGGUACUUUAAAUGACACUCCCAUUAGAGUUAUUUCUUUUCCUAAAGCUCAGCGUAUGGUUGAGAAGGGGUGUGACACGUAUUUAGCUUAUGUGAGAGAUAUAAGCAUUGAUACCCCUUUAGUCAAUUCAGUUCCAGUAGUACAGGAUUUUCCCGAUGUGUUUCCAGCUAAUCUUCCAGGCAUGCCGUCUGAUAGAGAUAUUGAUUUUGGCAUUGAUCUGUCGCCGGCCACUCACCCCAUUUCUAUCCCUAUAUAUCGUAUGGCUCCUCUUGAGUUGAAGGAUCAGUUAUAUGAAUUGCUUGAUAAGGUUUUAUUCAGCCCAGUGUACCACUUUGGGGUGUUCCUAUCUUUUUUGUGAAGAAAAAAGAUGGUUCUAUGCGUAUGUAUAUUGAUUAUCACUAGUUGAACAAGGUUACAGUGAAGAACUGUUAUCCUUUACCUCGUAUUGAUGAUCUGUUUGACCAGCUUUAGGGCGCACGAGUGUUUUCUAAGAUUGACUUGCGCUUAGGUUACCAUCAGUUGAAGAUUCGGGAGCCAGAUAUCCCGAAUACUGCUUUCAAGACUCGGUAUGGUCGUUACGAGUUCCUUGUUAUGUCAUUUGGGCUGACCAAUGCCUCAGUAGCCUUUAUGCAUUUGAUGCACAGUGUGUUCCGGUUGUAUCUUGACUCGUUUGUCAUUGUCUUUAUUGAUGAUAUUCUGGUGUAUUCCCGGAGUCGGGAAGAUCAUAAGCAGCACCUGAGGACUGUGCUUCAGACUUUGAGAGAGAAGAAGUUAUAUGAUAAAUUCUUGAAAUGUGAGUUUUGGUUGGAUUCAGUGGCAUUCUUAGGCCAUGGUAUCGAGUGAGGGUAUUCAGGUGGAUCCGAAGAAGAUAGAGGUCGUGCAGAGUUGGCCUAGACCAUCCUCAGCUACCGAGAUCCGUAGUUUCCUUGGUUUGGCAGGCUACUACCAUCGUUUUGUGGAUGGGUUUUCAUCGAUUGCAGCCCCUAUGACCAGGUUGACCCAGAAGGGUGCUCUGUUCCAGUGGACGGGGGAGUGUGAGGCGAGCUUUCAGAAGCUUAAUAUAGCUUUGACCACAGCCCCAAUUUUGAUACUGCCUACAAGUUUGGGGUCUUAUAUGGUCAAUUAUGACGCCUCGAGGGUUGGCCUCAUAGUGGUGUUGAUGCAGGACAAAAGGGUGAUUGCCUACGCGUCCAGACAGUUGAAGUACAUGAGAAGAACGACCAUGUUCAUGACCUUGAGUUAGCUGCCAUUGUUCACGCACUGAAGAUUUGGCAUCAUUAUUUAUACCGGGUUCCCUAUGAGAUUUAUACUAACCAUUGGAGCUUGCAGCACCUGUUCAAGCAAAAGGAUCUAAAUUUGCACCAGAGGCAAUGGUUAGAGUUGCUAAAGGACUAUGAUAUCACUAUUUUGUAUCACACGGGCAAGGCCAAUGUGGUGGCCGAUGCUUUGAGUCACCGGGCAGAGAGUUUGGGAGUUUGCCUUAUCUACUAGCAUCGGAGAGGCCUAUGGCGAUGGUUGUUCAGGCCUUAGCCAUCCAGUUUGUGAUAUUAGAUCUUUCGGAGCCUAGUCCGGUUCUAGCUUGCGUGGUUUCUCGGUCUUCCUUAUUUGAUCGUAUCACAGAGCGACAAUAUGAUGACCCUCAUUUGCUUGUCCUCAAGGACAAGGUUCAGCACGGUGAUGCCAGAGAUGUGACUAUUGGUGAUGAUGGGGUAUUAAGGAUGCAAGGUCAAAUUUGUGUGCCCAAUGUUGAUGGGCUGCGAGAGUUGAUUCUAGAGGAGGCCCAUAGUUCGCGGUAUUCCAUCCAUUCGAGUGCCGCAAAGAUGUAUCAGGAUUUGAGACAACACUAUUGGUGGAGGAGGAUGAAGAAAGAUAUAGUUGGAUUCGUAGCUCGGUGUCUCAACUAUCAGCAGGUGAAGUAUGAGCACCAGAUACCAGGUGGAUUACUUCAACAGAUAGAGAACUCGAAGUGGAAGUGGGAGAGGAUCACCAUGGACUUUGUAGUUGGGCUCCCACAGACUUUGAGAGAGUUCAAUGCUAUUUCGGUGAUUGUGGAUCGACUGACCAAGUCCGCUCAUUUCAUUCCUGUGUGCACUACUUAUUCCUCGGAGCGAUAGGCGAAUAUUUAUAUCGGAAGAUUGUUCGUCUGCAUGGUAUUCCAGUGUCCAUCAUUUCAGAUAGAGGUACGCAGUUCACAUCAAAGUUUUGGAGGGUCGUUCAGCAUGAGUUGGUUACUCGGGUGGAGUUGAGUACAACAUUUCACCCUCAGACGGACGGAUAGGCCGAGCGCACUAUUUAGAUUCUUUAGGAUAUGAUCCGUGUGUGUGUGACUGAAUUUGUAGGGUCUUGGGAUCAGUUCUUGCCAUUGGCGGAGUUCUCUUACAACAACAGUUAUCAUUCCAGCAUUCAGAUGGCACCGUAUGAGGCUUUAUAUGGUAGGGAGUGUAGAUCUCUGGUGGGUUGGUUUUAGCCGGGUAAGGCAAGACUAUUGGGCACGGGCUUAGUUCAGGAUGAUUUGAAGAAGGUUAAGGUGAUUCAGGAUAGACUACAUACAACCCAGUCUAGACAGAAGAGUUACGCGGACCGGAAUAUUCGUGAUGUUGUUCAGCUUCGGGUUUCGUCUAUGAAGGGCGUUAUGAGAUUUGGAAAGAAAAGAAAGUUGAGUCCGAGGUUUAUUGGCCCUUUUGAGAUAUUGAGCCAUGUUGGCGAGGUUGCUUAUGAGCUUGCCUUACCUCCCAGCUUGGCAGGAGUUCAUCCGAUAUUUCAUGUUUCGAUGCUCUGGAGGUAUCACGGUGAUCCGUUGCACGUGUUGGAUUUCAGUUCAGUCCAAUUGGACAAGGAUUUAUCUUAUGUUGAGGAGCCAGUGACAAUAUUGGACAGGCAGGUUAGAAAGCUGAGGUCAAAGAACAUUGCUGCAGUAAAGGUUCAGUGGCGGGGUCAGCCGGUCAAGGAGGCAACCUGGGAGACCAAGUAGGAUAUGAGCAGCCGUUACUCUCAUCUUUUCACUACUUUAGAUAUGUCUUUAUGCUCUUUCGAGGAUGAACGAAUGCUUAAGUGUAGGAGGAUGUGACGACUCGGCCGGUCGUCUUAAGAAUUUAUGCCUCGAUCCCCUUUUAACUGCCUUCCCCGAGUUUAUUUCUGCUAUUUUGAUUUGCCGGGAUGUACGGUUUUGAAUUUCGAAGAGUUUUGGAACAUUUAGUCCCUAAAUAAGAGCUUAAGUGUUGGAAAGUUGACCAUAGUCAGAACAGUAUAAAGAAGGCCUCGUAAUGGAAAUCUGAUGGUUCUGUUAGCCCCGUUAGGUGAAUUCGAGCUUAGGAGCGUGUUCAGAUUGUGUUUUGGAGGUCCGUAGCUAAUUUAGGUUUGAAAUGCCGAAAGUUGUUUUUUGAAGUUUCCGGUCCGAUAGUGAGAUUUUGAUUCGAGGGUUGGAAUGAAAUUCCGGAAGUUGGAGUAGCUCCGUAGUUUUGAAUGUGACGUGUUUGCAAAAUUUCAGGUCAUUCGGACGAGGUUUGCUAGACUUUUUGAUCAAAAGCGUAUUUUGAGAAAAUUUGGAGUUCUUAGGAUUAAAUCCUUGGUUAAUUCGAGGUUUCGACGUUGUUUUUAGUGUUUUAAGGAUUGGUAUAAGUUUGGGUAUUGUUUUGUGACUUGUUGGUGAAUUUGGUUGAGGUCCCAGAGGCCUCGGAAUGAAUUCGGAUGGUUGACGGAAAGAUUUUGGAGUUUAAGUUGCAGCUUCAGCUGCUGGUGCUAUCAUAACCGCACCUGCGGUUUGGGUUCCGCAGGUGCGGCGCUGCAGAUGCGGCUCAGCAAUCGCAGGAGCAGAGUUGUGGAGUAUCAGCAGGUUCCGCAGAUGCAGGUGGUUAACCGCAGAAGCGGUACCGCACUUGCGAACGGUAAAUCGCAGGUGCGACAAUUGGCCUUACGUGUAAGUCGCAGAUGCGACCCCUUGUUACGCAUAUGCGGGACCGUAAAAGCGGUCCCAAGGCCGCAGAUGCGUAAACUACUGGGCAGAUUAUUUUAAAAGGGGUUCCACGACUUUGGUAUUUAUUUCACCAUUUUUAUCACGACUUGGGAGCUUUCAGGACGAUUUGACUGAGGGAUUUCAAGGGAACUUCAUUGAGGUAAGGAAUUUCGACGUAAAACUAGUUCCUAUGCUAUUAUUUCACGGAUUAGAGCUAGAAAUCAUGGAAAUUAAGGGUGAAAAUUUGGGAAAACUAGGGCUUAGUAUUGGAGACCUUUGAAUAUUGUUUGAGGGAUCAUUUGAGGUCUGAUUUUGGUAAUUUUGGUAUACAUGAACUCGUGAGAGUGUGAGGAUUCUGAAAAUUUAAUUUUUACCCGAUUCCGAGAUGUGGGCCCGAGGGGCAUUUUGGUCAUUUUACAUAAUUUCGCGUAUUAGCUUAGAAUUUCUUUGUAGAAUCAGUUAUUUGAAGUUUUAGUUAUAUUAAGUAAUUGAAUUGAAUAGAUUUGGGUCAUUUGGAGUUGAGUACUCGUGGCAAGAUCGUGGUUUCGGAUUGAUUAUUGAGCCGGUUCGAGGUAAGUGGCUUGUCUAACCUUGUGUGAUGUGUACUUGAGAUAAUUAUUUAAAAUCCGAUUUUCUUUACGUAAUUUCAAUUGUGUUCCUUUUCUUGUUUCAUUUUACAUGCAAUUUAAACCUCUGUUAGCUUAGAAAGAGCAUGCGUAAUUGACUUAACUAUUUAUUUGCUUAAACUGCCUUAAUUGCAUUACGUGAAGCAUGUCAGGGUAGAAUUAACUGUUUACUUGGUACGGAAUCCGUAAUUGCAUUAAGCAUUAAAUUGAGUAUUCUUGUGUUGCUUCUGUGUGUUUUUAAAUUGGGACUACGGAACGACAUUUUGGGAGAUCCUCUAUACGAAAUUAUGAUCUGGACUGAGGUGCGGGAUACCAAGAGAUUUCGGGCAUGUAUAUUGAGGAUACCAAGAGAUCCUCGGGAUACCAAGAGAUCCUUUGUAUACAUAGAGGAUACUCAAAGAUCCUCGGGAUACCAAGAGAUCCCCCGAUUAUCAUCCUUGCUAUGAGUGGUAUUUCCUCGCGGUUUAUCUUAAUCUCUGUUUUCGUUACUGUACUCUUAUUAUCCUGUAUAGAUUCUUAUUGUAGAUUCUCAAUUGUAUUGCUUAUCUUAUCCUGUCAUCUUAUUUUUUAUUUAAUUAAUCUCAGUAGGGCCCUGAUAUUCCUCGUCACUAUCCGACUGAAGUUAGGCUUGUCACUUACUGAGUACCGUUGUGGAGUACUCAUGCCCCUUCUGUGCAUGUUUGUCAUGUGCAGAUCUAGGUACCGCUACUUCGGCCUGCAAUCCUUGAGGGAGGCGACUGCUUAGAGAUUUCGAGGUACAUCUGUCGCUUCCGCAGACCGAGAAGUCCCUUUCUAUUCCUGCUUUUAGUAUUUGGCCUUUCUGUAUUUUCCGCUCUUAUUAAACAUUCCAGAGUUAGAGCUAUGUAAUAUUUUUCUUAGCUUAUGAUUCGUGGGUUUCCGGGUCUUGGAUCUACGUAUUGGUAUUGAGAAUUAAACAUGGUGUAUGUCGAGCCGCACCAUUAAAACACUGUUAUUACUUUAGUUCUGUUUUAAACUAUUU
rnacentral:lncRNA from 1 species